rnacentral:rRNA from 1 species
AGUGGAUGGGGAGCAACCUAGUUGUGCGUGUGUAAAGGUAGUGCCAAGAAAAGCGAUGAUCAUGUUGAAAAUCAAUUCCCGGUACCCGAAACCGACACAGGUGGGCAAGUAGAGAAUACUAAGGGGCGCGAGGUAACUCUCUCCAAGGAACUCGGCAAAAUGACCCCGUAACUUAGGGAGAAGGGGUGCCACCGAGAGGUGGUCGCAGUGAAGAGGCCCAGGCGACUGUUUAGCAAAAACAUAGGUCUCUGCAAACUCGAAAGAGGAGGUAUAGGGGCUGACGCCUGCCCAGUGCCGGAAGGUUAAAGAAGUUGGUCAGUUUUAGGAUGAAGCUAGCGACUGAAGCCCCGGUGAACGGCGGCCGUAACUAUAACGGUCCUAAGGUAGCGAAAUUCCUUGUCGGGUAAGUUCCGACCCGCACGAAAGGCGUAACGAUCUGGGCGCUGUCUCGGAGAGAGGCUCGGCGAAAUAGGAUUGUCUGUGAAGAUACGGACUACCUGCAUUUGGACAGAAAGACCCUAUGAAGCUUUACUAUAGCUUGGAAUUGUGUUCGGGCUUCCUGUGCGCAGGAUAGGUGGGAGGCGUGGAAGGUAUUCUUGUGGGGAUACUGGAGCCAACGGUGAGAUACCACUCUCAGGAGGCUAGAAUUCUAACUUAAUUAAGGACAGUUUCAGGUGGGUAGUUUGACUGGGGCGGUCGCCUCCAAAAAGGUAACGGAGGCGUACAAAGGUUCCCUCAGACUGGUUGGAAAUCAGUCGAAGAGUGCAAAGGCAGAAGGGAGCUUGACUGCGAGAAGUACAGUUCGAGCAGGGUGGAAACACGGUCUUAGUGAUCCGACGGUGCUGUGUGGAAGGGCCGUCGCUCAACGGAUAAAAGUUACUCUAGGAUAACAGGCUGAUCUCCCCCAAGAGUUCACAUCGACGGGGAGGUUUGGCACCUCGAUGUCGGCUCAUCGCAACCUGGGGCGGAAGUACGUCCCAAGGGUUGGGCUGUUCGCCCAUUAAAGCCGUACGUGAGCUGGGUUCAGAACGUCGUGAGACAGUUCGGUCCAUAUCCGAUGUAGGCGUGAGAAUAUUGAGAGGAGCCUUCCUUAGUACGAGAGGACCGGGAAGGACGCACCGCUGGUGUACCUGUUAUGAUGCCAAUUGUAAACGCAGGGUAGCCAAGUGCGGAGAGGAUAACCGCUGAAAGCAUCUAAGUGGGAAGCCCACCUCAAGAUGAGUAUUCUGGUGUAAGGUCACGGGAAGACGACCCGUAAAUAGGCACGAGGUGGAAGUGCAGAGAUGUAUGAAGCCGAAGUGUACUAAUAGACCGUCGGCUUGAGC